rnacentral:lncRNA from 1 species
CUCUCUGUCCUUCGGUGGAGACUCCGGGAAAAACCUGCCUCCCAGUCUGCCCUCUCUCCGUCUGUCUGUGCUUGUUUUUCUACGUUUAUCCCUGUCGCUUUCCCCACUUAUUCUGCAGGCAUGGCGCGCCCCCAGUGCCGGCUUGGUGCCAGGGCUGGGAGAUCCGGGGGUGAAUCGUGAGCCCGGCCCACAGCGAGCUUGCAGUCUAGAGAUCAAGGCAGUCUUGUCCACAACCUGCUGUCACAUAAAGCAAAUGUAGCUGGUGUAGCACCAGGGGCUGCAAUCAAGUGCGGUGGGGCGGCAAUAGUGACCACGGAAAUAAUCAGAAUUGCUUUUAAUUCAGCUCCUACUAUAUUCCCGCAUCCCUGAGCCUCACAAUCAUCCUCCAAGGUAGGUAUUUUUGUCUUUCUCUAACAGAUGAAAACUCUGAGUUUCAGAAGAAUUAAAUGACAUCCCCCCAAAAGAGAGACAGUAUAAGAAUCCAAGUCAACCUGAGUCCAAAACCAGUGGCCCUUAACACUGUGUGGCUUUAUGGAGGACAUGGAGUUUAAGUUUACCUUCAAGGAUGAGCAACACUUUUCUUCAAGCAGAAAAAGAAGGGAAUGGGUGAACACGGUCCCAGGAUGUUCGCUUUGGCAGAUGAUUAGAAUACGUGCUGACUUGAUAGCCACAACUGUCCUGAUAAGAAAGUACGCCGGCCUGGCUGGGCAUGGUGGCUCACGCCUGUAAUCCGAGGAUUUUGGGAGGCCCAGGCGGGCGGAUCACUUGAUGUCAGGAGUUCGAGACCAGCCUGUCCAACAUGGUGAAACCCCGUCUGUACUAAAAAUACAAUAAUUAGCCGAGCAUGAUGGCAUGUGCCUGUAAUCCCAGCUACUCGGGAGGCUGAGGCACGAGAAUCGCUUGAACCUGGAAGGCAGAGGUUGCAGUUACUUUCCCGACAUUGCACCACUGCACUCCAGCCUUGGCGACAAGAGCGAAAUUUUGUCUCAAAAAAGAAAGAAAGAAAGCACUCAGGCCUGACCCAGGACCACAGCAGUGGACAUGGAGGGAGGAGGCUGGGGGUAGUUGGAUUGGUAUGAUAUGUCACUGAGUAAACGAAGGAAGGGACAGAAAGAGAACUCCAAAGUGUCAAAAGCCUGGACAACAGAGAGAAAGCAUCCUUGUCCUAUCAUUUAAAGCACCUGUUGGGCCAAAUAGGGAGCACCUUUCAGAAUCCAUGUGCACAAGAUCUCAGCAAUUCUACGUCCAAGAAUGUAACCUACAUCCAAGAAUGUACUGGAAUUUAAUUCCACAUCCAAGAAUCCCCAUAGGUAGCAAAGAUGUAUAUUUAAGGGUAUUCUCUCAGCUUUGUUUUUAUGUUAGGAGAUUGGGAACAACCUAAAUGCCCAUCAGCUGGUGACUGGCUAGGUUAACUAUUCACAAAUGGAAUACUAGGUAGCCUCCUAAAAGAGGAAAGCAAUUCUACAUAUCCUGAUACAGUGUGGUCACCAGAUAGAUGGCUAAGAUACAAAUAAAACAAACAAGUUGCAGUGUUAGAGUAUGCUAUGUAUCACUCCUUUUUAAGGACAAAAAGAGGAUAUACUUUAACUUUUUAAGAUACCAAAGUAUUUAUUUAUUUAAAAUUUUUUUCACAGAAUUGUUAUAGCAUGUAGAACCAAAAAUUAUUUACAAAUGAAAUUAUUCAAUGUCUGAGAUUUGUGUCAAAAUAAUGGUAUGGGGGUUUAGUGAGUAAGCAUGUAGGUAGAACAAGAUUGUCCAUGAGCUGAUAGUUGUUGAAGCUGGGUGAUCACCUGGGUGUUUUAUACUAUUUGGGUGUUAAACUAUUUUUUUUUCUAUUCUUGUGUAUGUGUCAAAUUUCCACUUAAGAAAAUGGGGGAAAAUGGUGUCAGCCCUCCAUUCCAGCUGAACACACCAUGUUAGUUCAUGCCCCAUCACACCACUCUUCUAGCCAUCUGUCAAUCUUCUCUGCCUGGCAAAUUUCUACUCUUUCAUCAGGACCCAGGAUAAUUAUCACCUUCUCUGAGAGGGCUUUUCCAACCCCUAUAGUCAGAAUCAUUCCUUCUCUAUGCUUGGGGCCCCCUGAGAAAUGUCUCUAAUCCUGUCACAAAUACAUAUUCCAGUGUCAUUAUCCAUCUCCCUAGUAGACAGUGAACAUUUCCAUCAAUGAGACAAUGUCUCAACUAUCUUCUUUCUGUCUCAACCCUUAACCCUGGCACUUAAUACUUGUUUGUUAAAUUCAUGGGUCAGGUCUAGUGAAGACAAUGAUUAGUUGUUUGGUUUGAUACAUACUGACCUUGAGAAGUCAAAGGGAUAUAGGAGGAGAGAAAGUGAAUGAGGAACUGAUGUUACUGAGCCUGUGCUAGGAGACUGCUGGGGCAAGGAAUAGAGUGAGGAGAAAGGAGGCAAGGCUCCUGCUGGCAAGGACCUCACUUUCAUUUCAGCUGGGGAAGAGCAUGGAAAGAUGUCAUUCUAGAGCAUGGUAAGUGCCAUGGAUGAAAUAGACAAGGCAAAACUUAUUCCACUUCAGCAAAGCGAGUGUCAAUAUUCUACUUAUGGAUGAGUGGAUGAACACAAGUGAUUUCAUCUGAACAUGUGUUCCUCCACUCAUCCAUAAGUAGAAUAUUGACACUUGCUUUGCUGAAGUGGAAUAAGUUUUGCCUUGUCAAUUUGUUUAUUUAUUUAUUUAUUUAUUUAUUUAUUUAUUUAUUCUAUUAUAUAUUUAUUUAUUCCAUAUAACAACCCUCAUUAAGUAGGAACUCUUUUUUGAGGGACAGGGUAUUACUGUGUUGCCCAGGCUAGUCUUGAACUUCUGGCCUGUGGUGUUCCUCCUGCCUUGGCCCCACAGAGUGCUGAGAUUACAGGCUUCAGCCACCAUGCCCGGUCUAAAGUAGGAACUCUUAACAGUCCCACAUUUAUAGCCUGGGAAAAUGAAGCUUAGGAAGAAUGAAGUCAACAGAGCAACAGAGGUCACACACCUCGCAAACAGCAGAGCCCAAAUGUCUUACCAUGCACUACCCUUUUGAGAAAGAAGACUGAAAUCAGGAGCCUGGUAAGGAAAUGGUGGAAACAGUGAAAGAGAACAAGAUGCACUGUUUCAUUUGUGAGAUGAGAAACAGAAAAAAAGAAAUGUCCUGAGAGCCCAAGAAAGACUGUUAGGAAAGGAACUGGGGCAAGUGUCAGAGUCCAUGGAGAAACCCAGCAGGGAAACCUGAGGGUCAUGGCAAUUGGCCAACACGAGGCGAUAAGGGACCUUUGAUGGAGCUAUUUUUGGUGGUGCUAACCUUCUUUGCUACAGGCUCACAACUGGAGCAUCUGCUUGCUUCCUCUGACCUGCCCCCUGGACUCAUGUUGUCAUUCUUCUCGCUCAACCUGUCUGCCUAGGGAAGAAGCCCUGGACUGUGUUUCCCCAAUCUCAGUAUUCCCAACCCUCCUGGCCCCCAACCCAGUACCUGCAGAGCUGACUCUAACCACCCAGUGCACCUCCCGCAGGCUGCAGCAGCCCCCAUCGAGGCCACUCAUUUACAGCACAGGCCCACACAGUCUGACAAAGGACAGCUGCAAUCCUCUGUCAACUGCAGUCCUUUCCCAGGCACAUGCUGGAUUGGGAAACAGGUGGGAGAAAAGAACAGACAUUUAUCAAGCACCUACUCUGUGCCUAGCAUUGUGCUAGGUGCUAGAGAGCCAAAAAUAAAUAGCAGCUGCUCUUGUGGAGGUCACAGUCUUGGAGGAGUUAAAGACACGGAAACAAAUUACAACACAGCGUAACAGCAGUGACAGAAGCACGUAUGAUAUGGUUUGACUGUGGCCCCACCAAAUCUCAUCCUGAAUUGUAGUUCCCAUAAUCCCCACUUGUGGUGGGAGGGGCCCAGUCGGAGGUAAUUGAAUCAUAAGGGUAGUUUCCCCCAUGUUAUUCUCGUGAUAGUGAGUUCUCAUGAGAUCUGAUGGUUUUAUAAGGGGCUUCCCCCUUCACUCAGCUCUCAUUCUUCUCUCUCCUGCCACCAUGUAAAGAAGGAUGUGUUUGGUUUCCCUUCCAUCACGAUUGUAAGUUUCCUGAGGCCUCCUCAGCCAUGUGGAACUGUGAGUCAAUUAAAUCUCUUUCCUUUAUAAAUUACCCAGUCUUGGGUAUUUCUUCAUAGCAGCCUGAGAAGGGACUAAUACAACAUACGAAGUUGGCAGCAAAGUGAGUGGUGGAAAGGAGAGUCAUGGAAAAGCAAACAAGGGAGGGUUAUAACUACAGCUUGGCAUCCUCCACUAAUGUUGUAAGGUCCUGGAGCAUUUUGGCAAUGGUGCUAAAAUGAGGAUGUAAGGACAAAAUCCCCUAGAUUUUCGACAGGUGAGCUUGUGAGGUGUUG